AGACAACCCUUCCUACUGUGACACCACCGCUGCUGCUAUUGUUUCGGCUGGUAACCGCUGCUGUCCCCGCCGACGCUCGGGUUUGGAAAUGUCGUCGAAAAGGUCUGGGAAGUGUCGUUGUGCGUCGGAUGCCUCGCUGCCACCGCUGGUCUGCCUCCGCCACCGCUGCUAGUCUGCCGGAGGGCAGAAAAUCCGGCUUGAGGUGGAGAACUAGUUCCUACGGAACAAGCUUCAUUCUGAUUCAGUGGUGGGGCUGAGGGCAAUAGCCUCGGGUUGUCCUCUGUUUCCAACUUUCGCACUGGACGUAUGCCCUCUGUUAACCGUAUGAUUGAGAACCUCUCGGAUUGGGACAUAGACACCUCUGAUUCUGAGGGUGGGGGCUAUGGUGGUCGCGACUCCCCUAAGGCAUCGCCGCGGGAUGAUAAAGUGGCCAAUGGUGGUGCAAGACACAUUUAUUUUGCCAAUGCACCUGGGAAUUGUAAUGAUAGAGUCGUUGUAGGGCACCAUGAUUCUGCUAGGGUGUCUUCUGAAUCUGUCACUAACUGAACUCCACCCCCACCCCGGACACCACUAGUAGCAACAGCGUUUCAGUGGAGAAACGGAACAAUAAAGGGGCUAAUCCAUCUAGCACCAGCGUGCAGCCAAAUAUGAAAACCAUGAGAUAGGUUCAUAGUAUCUUGUUUGGUGUUUCGAGUUUAUUUGGAAAGAUAUUUAAGUGAUCAAUUCUCAGCUUUGGCGGAUAUUGCCAAGAUGGUGGGUAUGAGACCUCUGGAGAAGUUUCUAGAAAAGCUGGAUACGUUUUUUAAGAAUGCAGCUGUAGCUUCUCAUCCGUUGAGCGGUCAAUAUCCAACAUUUCAUUCAAGUGGUCUAGGCAACUGGUAUGCUGUUUUAUCUUAUGAUGCAUCUGUCCGCCUAUGCCUCCACUCGUGGGCAAGGAGCUAUAUGAGAGCUCCUCCCUUUUUGGAAAAUGAAUGUUCACUGCUGAGGGAUGUAUUAGUUAAAUUUGCAGGUUAAGAAAUAUAUUAUUAAAAUCAGAGAAAAAGCUGACGAGGAAAGAUCAUUCUGAACUUGUGGGUGAAGGCGCUUAAGUAAAGUCUAAGAAAACCAUCGGGAAGAUUAGAGUUCCAGUUCGUAAUGUGAAAAUGGGGACGAAGCAACCCACUGGUUUCACGUUUACAUCUUUAAAGUCUUCAUCCACGGUGAAGCUGGAAACAUUUCAGCAAAGGUUAUCAAAUGUGAAAUUGGUUGUUUCAUCCAACAAAAAGAAACAAAAAAAAGAAAAAAAAGAAAAAAAGAAAAAAGGAAAAAAUGAAAAAAGAGAAAAAAAAAUAAAAAAAUCUGACAUUGUAAGAGGCUCUCUUUAUUGCAUAGAAGCGUUGCACACUUAAUUGUUGGGACUCAUGGAUACUUGAAAGAAGUACCCAUGCUCAUAAAGCGCAUCAACUUAUGAAUUGGUGCAAGAAUCAUAUUCUUGUAUGUUGAGAUUGAAAAGUUCGUACGAAGAGGAUGCAUUGGGAAUGCAACCGGGACCUGCUUGCCAGGUGGAUUUGGAGAUGAUCUGAAUCUGAAUUAUAUUGUGGGCAUGUUCUUGUUCAGGUGGCUGACAUUUAUGAUGAAUCGGGGAAGAAGCGUCGUCAGUGUGUUAUAUCCGGGGAAAAAGAGCAUGAAAAAGCUGAGAGAAAUACAGCUAUACAUCAACUACUCAACCACUGCAGAUAAAGAUAGUUACAAGUGCAUAUCUGUAGCGGAAACUAUCGCUUAAGACUGUGUUUUGGAGACUGCGAUGAAAGGCCAACAGUUUCAGCAAAGAAACUUGUUGUUGCUACAUGGUUCGUGGAAAUGGUUGGUGGAUUCAUUUGCAUCUUUUCUGGAGUUUUAGAGCUCAGAUACAUUUCAUACGUUAUGGAUAUCUCCACAGCAACAGUAGAUUAUCUUGAUUUGGUGCACGACAUUCUGCUGCCCGUGGUAAUCAAAGACAAAAGUAAGCACACAUUGAGUCACUAAGAGGCCCGUUUUCUGGGAGAAGUUUCUGUUUCUGUUCAAAUUGAGCAGAUACUCACUCUGGUCUUGGAGAAUUUCAAGUAACUUGAUGAAUCAUCGAUGUCGGGUAUUAAAGAUGUAUUCGGACCUGCAACAGGAUUGGCUGCACCUGCACUUGAUCCAGCUUUGAAGCUCUACAAAUGGUUGCAUGAUAUUCUUUCCCCGAGAUUGCUACGAGAAAAAGGUCAAUCAGGCACUUGUUUGAAAUUGAUGAGUUCUUUUCGACUAAUAACGAAAACAUGUUAUUGGAUCCCGUGGCUGUCUCCACAGCAUAUAUGAAAGGAAAAACUAAUACAUGGGUCUCAAGAUGUGAAGGUAGCAGUGAAAAACAAAGUUCCUCUUGUAAGGUCGUUGACUUGAGCUGUGUUACAUUCUGUAUUGAAACAAGUAACACAGCGACCAUACCUAAGGUUCACGAGGAAUAUGUUCCCUCAUUUAUUUUGGAGUGGUCUAGGCAACUGGUAUGCUGUUUUAUCUUAUGAUGCAUCUGUCCGCCUAUGCCCCCACUCGUGGGCAAGGAGCUGUAUGGAGCUCCUCCCUUUUUGGAAAAUGAAUGCUCACUGAUGAGGGAUGUAUUAGGGUUAAGAAAUAUAUUAUUAAAAUCAGAGGAAAAGCUGACGAGGAAAGAUCAUUCUGAACUUGUGGGUGAAGGCGCUUACGUAAAGUCUAAGAAAACCAUCGGGAAGAUUAGAGUUCCAGUUCGUAAUGUGAAAAUGGGGACGAAGCAACCCACUGGUUUCACGUUUACAUCUUUAAAGUCUUCAUCCACGGUGAAGCUGGAAACAUUUCAGCAAAGGUUAUCAAAUGUGAAAUUGGUUGUUUCAUCCAACAAAAAGAAACAAAAAAAAAGAAAAAAAAGAAAAAAAGAAAAAAAAGGAAAAAAUGAAAAAAGAGAAAAAAAAAUAAAAAAAAUCUGACAUUUUAAGAGGCUCUCUUUAUUGCAUAGAAGCGUUGCACACUUAAUUGUUGGGACUCAUGGAUACUUGAAAGAAGUACCCAUGCUCAUAAAGCGCAUCAACUUAUGAAUUGGUGCAAGAAUCAUAUUCUUGUAUGUUGAGAUUGAAAAGUUCGAUCGAAGAGGAUGCAUUGGGAAUGCAACCGGGACCUGCUUGCCAGGUGGAUUUGGAGAUGAUCUGAAUCUGAAUUAUAUUGUGGGCAUGUUCUUGUUCAGGUGGCUGACAUUUCUGAUGAAUCGGGGAAGAAGCGUGGUCAGUGUAUUAUAUCCGGGGAAAAAGAGCAUGAAAAAGCUGAGAAAAAUACAGCUAUACAUCAACUACUCAACCACUGCAGAUAAAGAUAGUUACAAGUGCAUAUCUGUAGCAGAAACUAUCGCUUAAGACUGUGUUUUGGAGACUGCGAUGAAAGGCCAACAGUUUCAGCACAGAAACUUGUUGCUACAUGGUUCGUGGAAAUGGUUGGUGGAUUCAUUUGCAUCUUUUCUGGAGUUUUAGAUGCAUACACAAAGCUCAGAUACCUUUCAUACGUUAUGGAUAUCUCCACAGCAACAGUAGAUUAUCUUGAUUUGGUGCACGACAUUCUGCUGCCCGUGGUAAUCAAAGACAAAAGUAAGCUCACAUUGAGUCACUAAGAGGCCCGUUUUCUGGGAGAAGUUUCUGUUUCUGUUCAAAUUGAGCAGAUACUCACUCUGGUCUUGGAGAAUUUCAAGUAACUUGAUGAAUCAUCGAUGUCGGGUAUUAAAGAUGUAUUCGGACCUGCAACAGGAUUGGCUGCACCUGCACUUGAUCCAGCUUUGAAGCUCUACAAAUGGUUGCAUGAUAUCCUUUCCCCGAGUUUUCUGCAGAUGUGAAGGUAGCAGUGAAAAACAAAGUUCCUCUUGUAAGGUCGUUGACUUGAGCUGUGUUACAUUCUGUAUUGAAACAAGUAACACAGCCACCAUACCUAAGGUUCACGAGGAAUAUGAUCCCUCAUUUAUU